rnacentral:tRNA from 2 species
GCUCCCAUAGUGAAGGGGUUAUCACGGCUGCCUUCCAAGCAGCAGACUCGGGUUCAAGUCCCGAUGGGUGCA